rnacentral:rRNA from 1 species
AUACGGAGGGUGCGAGCGUUAAUCGGAAUUACUGGGCGUAAAGCGUGCGUAGGCGGUUCGGUCAGUCAGCCGUGAAAGCCCCGGGCUCAACCUGGGAACGGCGGUUGAGACGGCCGGACUAGAGUGGGCUAGAGGAUCGUGGAAUUCCCGGUGUAGCGGUGAAAUGCGUAGAGAUCGGGAGGAACACCGAUGGCGAAGGUAGCGGUCUGGGGCCACACUGACGCUGAGGCACGAAAGCGUGGGGAGCAAACAGGAUUAGAUACCCUGGUAGUCCACGCGGUAAACGAUGAGCACUAGACGUCGGGUGGGUGACCGUCCGGUGUCGCAGCUAACGCGCUAAGUGCUCCGCCUGGGGAGUACGGCCGCAAGGUUGAA